GAAGGUGACAAAGCUCUGAAGGUCCUGCCAACUCUCCUUCCCCCAUCAGCAAGACGAAGGAAAAGUCUUCAGACCCACCACCGAGGAGUCCCACAGGUCAUUUAUUGAUAUGCAGCCUAAACACCUUUCAAAAACUCACACGGAUGUUCAUUCCUGACCAGGACAACCAGUCAUCCGCUGGCCACUGAGCAACUACACGAAGCAGCUGGAUGCAACUGUGAGCUCUGCCUUGGAGUCCUUUCAACCAGCCGGUUCACUGCACAGGGUCCCAUCAGUCCACAACAGGAUGCCACAGAGGGAAUUGGAAUCAUAAAAACGCUGUUCAGCCACUAUUGGUUGUUGUGAACAGAAGGUCAGACAACAGGCAGAGGGAUAAAGAUUGGAGUGAGUUGGCAGUCAGGAGAAUCUCAUCUGACAGGAUGGACCAACGCACACCAGCCCCACCACAACUUUCCACUGACACACUGCAGAAUCAGGUCCAUCGUCUGCCAUAAAUUAGACCUAACGUGUGUAUAUAGGUGCUAAUGGCCAAUUUUAUUAACCACACGUACCGAUGAAAAUAACAUAAUAAUAUGAACUUUUACUGAUUCUGAUAAACAUUUUUCCCUCCAGAGAGGUCAGAGGUCAGGUUAGUGAUAGCGCAGUAGUUUCCUUGUAGCUGCUAAAGUGUCUAUUUGAAGGAUACUGUGAAAUGACGGAUGCUUUUUCAACUGGAAAUUAAGCAAAUAUAGAAGGAUGUGCAGAUAAUAUGGGUUUAGGGAAACAAAUUAAUUAAAAUUGAUUACUUUAAAGACACUUAUAAAUAAAAUAAAUUAAA